CUCCCGGGGCGUCUCGUUCUCAUUGCGAGAAGAGGCGCACCCAGAGCGUACACGCUGGGACCCGAAAGAUGGUGAACUAUGCCUGGUCAGGACGAAGUCAGGGGAAACCCUGAUGGAGGUCCGUAGCGAUUCUGACGUGCAAAUCGAUCGUCGGAACUGGGUAUAGCGGCGAAAGACUAAUCGAACCAUCUAGUAGCUGGUUCCCUCCGAAGUUUCCCUCAGGAUAGCUGGCGCUCGNUGUUGCGAGUCUCAUCCGGUAAAGCGAAUGAUUAGAGGCAUUGGGGUCGAAACGGCCUCAACCUAUUCUCAAACUUUAAAUGGGUGAGAUCUCAGGCUUGCUUAAACCGUGAAGCCGCGAGAUUUCGGAUCAGAGUGCCAAGUGGGCCACUUUUGGUAAGCAGAACUGGCGCUGUGGGAUGAACCAAACGCUGAGUUAAAGCGCCUAAAUCGACGCUUAUGGGAUACCAUGAAAGGCGUUGGUAACUUAAGACAGCAGGACGGUCGCCA
rnacentral:rRNA from 1 species